UUUUUUUUUUUUUGUGUGUGGCUGUACGCAUGGGCCAGGGAUCAAACCUAAGCCAUGACACCUACCUGAGCCACUGCAGUGAUGCCAGAUCCUUAACUCGCUGAGCUACAAGAGAACUCCCUAACACUAACAUUUUAAACUCCACUCAAUACCAUAGAAAUUAUUAAAAUGAGAUAAUAUAUGUGAGCGUGCUUGCUAAGUAAGCUUUCAAGAACUGUAUGAACAAUACCCCAGUACAAUGACCAUGAACCCAUAUUGUCUCAGACUAUAUAAUGUCACGUAAAUAUACCAUUCUCUGUUGACAACCCUUCCUAUGCUAGAAGGCCAUCAUCAAAUCCUCAUUCUAAUUUUUAGGCUGAAUAGCCAACUUGGUUGAAAAUUUCCUCCCACAAGUUCUUUCUCAAACUUUCAGUGAUUUUUGAAUUUUGUAACUGUUCUGUGCUCUCUCUCAGCUGUCCUAUUUUUGUUACCCUGAUGGUCAUACAAUUGAACCUCACUUUAUGAAAUGCAGCCAAGUGAAAAUAAUUUCUUAUGAGUCGUGUCAUUUUACAAAUGCACUGAGAUGCUAAGAGUUACUUAAAGACCCUCAGUAGAGGGAAAGGGGGAGUUGGGAAAGGGGGAGUUAGAUAAAGGCUGGUGUUUACUGAGCACCAGCUCUACUGCUUUUCUGUAACAUGACCUUGUCACUUAGCUUCUCCAAUCCCUGGUUUCCUCAUCUAUCAAGUGGGGACUUCCCGUCAAGCCCCCUACAAUGGUUCUCAGUGGUUGGUGUGCUGCGGCACAUUUCCAAGUGUGUGGGAGCACUUUCAGUGCUCACAAUAACUGGGGGUGGUUACUGCUAUUUAGGGAGGGAGUAGGGUUGGGGCGGGGACACAAAUAUUCCCAAAUGCCUGGUGCGUUGCCUUAUAACUAGAAAUUGUCCUGCCACAACAUGCUGGUGGUGCUGUCAUUGAGAUACUGAUGAAGCAACGCAUUACAAAUUUCCCUCGGAUAAAUUAGUGAACACUAGAUGGCAUGACAGGGUGCUUUAUGAUUAAGGGGGGAAAAAAAUCAGCCUUCAGAAUCUCUAAAACACUUCUGCUCUGUUAAAAUAAUCCUUUUAAAGUCUUUCCCACAUAAGUCCACCCAGAGCAAAUCUGAAAUCUUCCUGCUAUGUAGAAAGCAUCUUAAAAAUCUCUAAUCAGCUUACCAUGCGGAUUAGAGGACUUAGCUAUGACUUUAGAAACAGACUAGUUGAUUUGCAUUUUUGUCUGUGUUUCCAAAGUAUUACAUGACUUUAGUCAAAUCAAGAAAACCAUAUUCCCAGAGUUCCCGUUGUGGCUCAGUGAUUAAUGAACCUGACUAGUAUCCAAGAAGACAGAGGACAUGGGUUCAAUCCCUGGCCUUACUCAGUGGGUUAAGGACCUGGUGUUGCCCUGAGUUGUGGUGUAGCUCACAGACAAGGCUUGGAUCCCACGUUGCUGUGGCUGUGACUCCGAUUAGACCCCUAGCCUGGGAACCUCCAUAUGCCUCAGGUGCAGCCCUAAAAAGACAAAGAAAAAAAAAAAAGCCAUAUUCCAGAGUUCCCACUGUACCACAGUGGUUAACGAACCUCAGAGACAUCUGAGGUUGUAUGGAUUCAACCACCUGCCUGGUACAGUGGGUUAAAUUAUCUGGCAUUGCCACAGCUGUGGCAUAGGUUGCAUCUGUGGCUUGGAUUUGAUCCCUAGCCUGAGAACUUCCAUAUGCUGCAGGUGCAAUCAUUAAAAAAGAAAGAAAGCCACAUUCCCAAUUGUAAGUUGUAUCGGAUACUUCUUUGGACAUAUUUGUCUCUUAUUCUAGUUGCUAUAAGGCCAGCCAAUUCUGCAUGGGCUCUGACAAAGUUCAAGUUUCAACAGGCCCCAUUUGAAAGUAUUUCACCUUCUGGCCCCCCUUGCAUCUCUCUCCUCCCAUCUCAAGGUUUCCUUUGUGUUAUAACCCCUUAUGGACCCUACUAGGGGCCGACACCCAGACAUAUGCAACCUGGAAGCACCGUGGGUGACCCAAGGAUUUCAGGGAUCAGAAUUCCCAUUGUGGCGCAGCAGAAAUGAAUCCGACUAGCAUUCAUGAGGACGUGAGUUCGACCCCUGGCCUCACUAAGUGGGUUAAAGGAUCUGACAUGGCCAUGAACUGUGGUGUAGGUCAUAGACACAGCUUGGAUCCCGAGUUGCUGUGGUUGUGGUAUAGGCUGGCAGCCAUAGCUCCUAUUCGAUCCCUAGCCUGGGAACUUCCAUAUGCCUCAGGUGCAGCCCUCAAAAAAAAAAGGCAAAAAAAGAGGACCCCAGAGAUUCUAGCCAGUUGGUAAAAACUUCCUCUCUUCUACCC
rnacentral:lncRNA from 1 species